GACGAACGCUGGCGGCGUGCUUAACACAUGCAAGUCGAACGGAAAGGCCCUGCUUUUGUGCGGUGCUCGAGUGGCGAACGGGUGAGUAACACGUGAGUAACAUGCCCUUGACUUUGGGAUAACUUCAGGAAACUGGGGCUAAUACCGGAUAGGAGCUCCUGCUGCAUGUUGGGGGUUGGAAAGUUCCGGCGGUUGGGGCUGGACUGGCGGCUUAUCAGCUUGUUGGUGGGGUAGUGGCUUACCAAGGCUUUGACGGGUAGCCGGCCUGAGAGGGUGACCGGGCACAUUGGGACUGAGAGACGGACCAGACUGCUACGUGAGGCAGUAGUGGGGAAUAUUGCACAAUGGGCGGAAGCCUGAUGCAGCAACGCCGGGUGCGGGAUGACGGGUUUCGGGGUGUAAACCGCUGUGGACUGUGACGAGGCGUGAGUGACGGUAAUGGGUAAAGAAGCACCGGCUAACUACGUG
rnacentral:rRNA from 1 species